ACGAACGCUGGCGGCGUGCUUCACCCAUGCAAGUCGAACGGAAAGGCCCUGCUUUUGUGGGGUGCUCGAGUGGCGAACGGGUGAGUAACACGUGAGUAACCUGCCCUUGACUUUGGGAUAACUUCACGAAACUGGGGCUAAUACCGGAUAGGAGCUCCUGCUGCAUGGUGGGGGUUGGAAAGUUUCGGCGGUUGGGGAUGGACUCGCGGCUUAUCAGCUUGUUGGUGGGGUAGUGGCUUACCAAGGCUUUGACGGGUAGCCGGCCUGAGAGGGUGACCGGCCACAUUGGGACUGAGAUACGGCCCAGACUCCUACGGGAGGCAGCAGUGGGGAAUAUUGCACAAUGGGCGGAAGCCUGAUGCAGCAACGCCGCGUGCGGGAUGACGGCCUUCGGGUUGUAAACCGCUUUCGCCUGUGACGAAGCGUGAGUGACGGUAAUGGGUAAAGAAGCACCGGCUAACUACGUG
rnacentral:rRNA from 1 species